rnacentral:rRNA from 1 species
UCCCAGACUCCUACGGGAGGCAGCAGUGGGGAAUAUUGCACAAUGGGGGAAACCCUGAUGCAGCGACGCCGCGUAAAGGACGAAGUAUUUCGGUACGUAAACUUCUAUCAGCAGGGAAGAAAAUGACGGUACCUGACCAAGAAGCCCCGGCUAACUACGUGCCAGCAGCCGCGGUAAUACGUAGGGGGCAAGCGUUAUCCGGAUUUACUGGGUGUAAAGGGAGCGUAGACGGCCGUGCAAGUCUGAUGUGAAAACCCGGGGCUCAACCCCGGGACUGCAUUGGAAACUGCAUGGCUGGAGUGUCGGAGAGGCAAGUGGAAUUCCUAGUGUAGCGGUGAAAUGCGUAGAUAUUAGGAGGAACACCAGUGGCGAAGGCGACUUUCUGGACUGUACCUGACGCUGAGGCGCGAAAGCGUGGGUAGCGAACGGGAUUAGAUACCCGGGUA